rnacentral:lncRNA from 1 species
CAGAAGUCAGGUCGGAUCAAGCCAUAGUACGGAAAAAACUAUGCUACCUGUGAGCCCCGUCCAAGGACGUUAAAAGAAGUCAGGCCAUUACAAAUGCCAUAGCUUGAGUAAACUAUGCAGCCUGUAGCUCCACCUGAGAAGGUGUAAAAAAUCUGGGAGGCCACAAACCAUGGAAGCUGUACGCAUGGCGUAGUGGACUAGCGGUUAGAGGAGACCCCUCCCUUACAAAUCGCAGCAAC